UUGAAACCCAUUGGUUUCAACUCCAGCCCGUGGCCCUGUGAAGCCCUCUAACCUACCUGAUGGCACUGUCACAAGGGGGGCAGCUAAACAUCUGCAGAUCAUGGCAAACCUUGUCUGAAACGCAACUCAGAGCUUGCCCUUCUCAAGAAAAUGGAGAAUCCUCCUCAGCAUUAACUUGGGGUUUCUCUGAAGUCCACCAAUAUUGAAACAAUUGGAUUUUCUGCCAAGAAACAUUAAGGCUGAUUUGACAAGAAUGACGAGGCACUUUAAGAGUUGAUUGACUGUUAGUACAAGGCUUUUAGAGCUUUCUAAAAUUGCAUCAACUGUAAGUGAAAGAAAUGGAAGUAUCUACUCAGAGCUUCAAAGGAAAGCCUGUGACAUGAGGAACGAAUGGUAGCAUGGUCAAAUAUGAAUACAUCUAUCCAACAUUUCUUGGAUCCCUAUAAUAUACAAGUUCAUUUGGUUCGUCCACAAUUUUCUAUAGUCCUCACACUCAGCGACCCAUUGAGAUCUAAGCUGAUCAAUGUAAAAAAAUCAUUUUGUGUUUAUUGAAGGAUUUUCAGAAGACCCAUUCAGCUAAGACUCUUACUGAAUGUGUUUUCAACUCUAUUUUGGAGCUUCCUAUCUAAGGCCAACUUACCCUACUGUCACCAUAUUGAUAGAGUGAGGCAACAACAGAAACCAACUGAAAGCAAAAUCUUUGAACUGACAGCAUCUAUGCUGAAAUCUUCAAGAUACUUUUGGUGAUGAUAUCAAGUAACAUCAACCUACUCAGGCAGUAUGUAUGAAGUUGUAACCCCAGUGAGAUCAAUCUCUGUGUGUCUCUUGCCUUUUACCACCUUAUUUUAGAUAGGUAUUUGUUACAAGUGUCCUGACACUUUUUAAUAUUUUAUAACUAAAGAUAGACAAAAUGUGCCUGGCAAGAACAAUAACUAAAGACUGCGUCAACAACCCAGGACCACUCAUUAUGCCAGGAAAUAUGUGCUUACGCUGUGACAAUGGCUGUCAUCUUAGAUUGGCCCCAUUAACCACCUCUGGUCCAUCAAGGCAAUAAUGGAAGUCAUUCUCUUCCUCUAACAAGAUAAUGCCAAGAAAGUACACUGCUGCGCAACCAGCUGUUUGAGGAACUGAAGAGGAUGAAAAGAGGGUGAAAACAGAUGGAAUAUAUUUUGCAUUUCUACUUAGAUAUGAAUAUGUACAUAUGAUAUAUUAGGGCAUCUCUCCCACACAUGUCCCUCUCUUCUUGGUACAUUAUGUUAACCAUUUAUCACUUUCAUAUGUCAACUUUAUCCAAAAAUUAUAUAUGCUCUUUGUUUCUUAGAUUUACUCCUUUCUUUACACCACUUUUUACUGAACUAUUUGGUUAGAACUUGUGAAAACUUCGUAUAGCUUAUGCUGCAUGGAAGGUACUUUGUGUAGAGGGAACAUUUGUUUGAAACAAAGCUUAAAGUGUACUGUUUGCUGAGAAUCAUACUAGGCUUCAAUAUAGGGAGAAAUACAUAGUUGAAAGUGUUUAGAUUGUCCUUGUACCAUAUUUUUAAA